rnacentral:lncRNA from 1 species
AGCCCACGCUCAGAGCCCCAUCUCCCCGGCUUCACAGGGGUGGGGAGGGGGUGCCCUCUCAGGAGGUGCUCUCCUCCCCAGCUGCUCCCGUACUGGGUGCAGGAUGAGCAUUAAAACCUCCAGAUUCCCAGUAAGGUUGCUGCAUGCUGGAGCCUGGUGUGGGGCUCAGUGACAGCCAGCGGCAUUGCUCACUGCAAGUCAGCGACAGUGCAGGCAUCCCGGGCCCAGUCCCAGAACCCCAGCAGAGCACUGGGGCUGCCCAGGAGCCCUGCAUGGGGCCCAGGAUGCACGCAGAGAGCGGCAGUUCUUACGCACCUCUUGCCAAGCCGGCACAUCCCGCGGUCGGCCCCUGCGCUCAGCCCACCCGCUCCCACCCCAGCUGCGCCUCCAGGCAGAGGCAGCUCUCCAGCUCUCCUUUCCCUCCCGCUGCCACCUCCGGUGCCUGGAAGCCGCUGCUCGCUCUGCAAACUCCCACUGGAAGCAGCUGCUGGAGUGUGACCAGGCACUGCUGUGCCACGGGGGCACGGGUGAGCAGUUGCCAGGGCACUCCUCCAGGAGACCUCCCUGGGAAGGCAUCUUGCCAAUGCUUCAUUUUGAUUAGAUAAAUUUUGCACAGACGGCAGAGCAGAGCAGACCUUGUCUGAGUUGCAGGGGCCGGCAGGACAGAGCCUGGGGUGCCCGUUGCCCCACAGGAAGGUGAUGCCAAGCACUAAGGAGGAGAAAUGCCAGGUUAUCAAUUGUAAUUAAAGGACACUGUCACUGCAAGGGCUGGGCUGGCUCCCAGCAGCUCCCUGUCAUUCCCCUGUGCUGACUCCACAAAACCUGAACAUCCUCCAUGCUAUUUAAAAAUCCCAUCUUUAAUAACUCAGAGACAUCUGAACCCCACAGGACAGGCACCAAGGGUACAUCAGACAUGACAGGGACAAGUCCAAGGGGAAGCUGGUCCCUGGAGAGCCAAGGCAGAUGUCUCGGGGGCUGCAGAAAGCCCCAGCCCCGGGGCGGAGGGGGCAGCCCCAGGCUUGGUGCCCAGGGCUGGGUUGGUGUGUGGGGGGCUGAGCCGGCAGCACCACUCAGUCCCGUGGGGUUGGGGGCAGGGGGGGGCAGCCCCACUCCUCCUGCCGGCACCCCGGAGCGGCAGGGUGUGCAAUCAGCGCUAAUCAGAUAGCAAAAUAAUUACUGGGCCUCCUGCAGGGAGGUGAUAGAUGCAGCGUGCCUGGCGGGUGGUUGCGUGGUGGGAUGCCCUGGCUGCCCCGGCCGGCUCCAGGCUGGCUCCAGUUUGCCCAUGCAGCCCUGUGCCCCAGGCCAGCAGCCUUUCCCUUUAGUGCCUGGCUGCUUCUCCAAAACUGAUGUCGUUUAUUUAACCAGAAACAUUUAUAAAGAAUGUUAAAAACUCACAACGACAUCUUGAUUGCUUCAGUCAAAAGUUACUUUUGAAAGGCCAUUUUUCUAAGACUUGCUCUUCCCAAGAGUUUCCUUCUAAGCGCAGUGUUUCCCACGGAGCGUGGGUGCAUGGUGCCAGUGGUGCACGUCCUCGCUGUGCCCCUGCUGUCACCGCAGCUCACGGAGUGGCAGCAGGCAGCGUGGCCGGGUGCCAGGGGCACGGCGCUGCAUGGGGAGCUGGCAGGCGAGCCCUGCACACGGCAUGGCAGGACAUUCACAGCCCGACCUGAGCACGGGCUCGUUCCUUCACACGCCUUUCCACCUGACAGGCUGGAGCCUAUGUAAAUUCCCACCGUAAUUACUCUGAGAGCUAUCAAACUAUCUAAUUUAAUUUCUUUGUGAAAAUAAAUAGCUAAAGUGGCCCUAGG